GUCUACGGCCAUACCACGUUGAAAGCACCAGUUCUCGUCCGAUCAUUGAAGUUAAGCAACGUCGGGCUCGAUUAGUACUUGGAUGGGUGACCGCCUGGGAACACCGAGUGCUGUAGACU
rnacentral:rRNA from 1 species